AGUGAACGCUGGCGGCAUGCCUAACACAUGCAAGUCGAACGGCAGCACAGUAAGAGCUUGCUCUUACGGGUGGCGAGUGGCGGACGGGUGAGGAAUACAUCGGAAUCUACUUUUUCGUGGGGGAUAACGUAGGGAAACUUACGCUAAUACCGCAUACGACCUACGGGUGAAAGCAGGGGAUCUUCGGACCUUGCGCGAGUGAAUGAGCCGAUGUCGGAUUAGCUAGUUGGCGGGGUAAAGGCCCACCAAGGCGACGAUCCGUAGCUGGUCUGAGAGGAUGAUCAGCCACACUGGAACUGAGACACGGCCCAGACUCCUACGGGAGGCAGCAGUGGGGAAUAUUGGACAAUGGGCGCAAGCCUGAUCCAGCCAUACCGCGUGGGUGAAGAAGGCCUUCGGGUUGUAAAGCCCUUUUGUUGGGAAAGAAAAGCAGCAGGUUAAUACCCCGCUGUUCUGACGGUACCCAAAGAAUAAGCACCGGCUAACUUCGUG
rnacentral:rRNA from 1 species